rnacentral:rRNA from 1 species
UAAUACGAAGGUGGCGAGCGUUAUUCGAAAUCACUGGGCUUAAAGAGCAUGUAGGCGGCCUACCAAGCGUUGUGUGAAAUCCCUCGGCUCAACCGAGGAACUGCAUGGCGAACUGGUAGGCUUGAGGCAAGUAGGGGCGAGUGGAACUCUUGGUGGAGCGGUGGAAUGCGUAGAUAUCAAGAGGAACGUCGGAGGCGAAGGCGACUCGCUGGGCUUGUCCUGACGCUGAGAUGCGAAAGCUAGGGUAGCGAACGGGAUUAGAUACCCCGGUAGUCCUAGCCCUAAACGAUGUCAACUAGACCGGAGUACUUCUGACAGUUUUCCGGUCGGAGCAAAAGUGUUAAGUUGACCGCCUGGGGAGUACGGUCGCAAGGCUA